AACGAACGCUGGCGGCAUGCCUAACACAUGCAAGUCGAACGAGACCUUCGGGUCUAGUGGCGCACGGGUGCGUAACGCGUGGGAACCUGCCCUUAGGUUCGGAAUAACUCCCCGAAAGGGGUGCUAAUACCGGAUAAUGUCUUCGGACCAAAGAUUUAUCGCCUUUGGAUGGGCCCGCGUUGGAUUAGCUAGUUGGUAGGGUAAAAGCCUACCAAGGCGACGAUCCAUAGCUGGUCUGAGAGGAUGAUCAGCCACACUGGGACUGAGACACGGCCCAGACUCCUACGGGAGGCAGCAGUGGGGAAUAUUGGACAAUGGGCGAAAGCCUGAUCCAGCAAUGCCGCGUGAGUGAUGAAGGCCUUAGGGUUGUAAAGCUCUUUUAGACGGGAUGAUAAUGACAGUACCGGGAGAAUAAGCUCCGGCUAACUACGUG
rnacentral:rRNA from 1 species